CGUAGGUGGCAAGCGUUGUCCGGAUUUAUUGGGUUUAAAGGGUGCGUAGGCGGUUCUGUAAGUCAGUGGUGAAAUCCGGCAGCUCAACUGUCGAUGUGCCAUUGAUACUGCAGAACUUGAGUACAGACGAGGUAGGCGGAAUUGACGGUGUAGCGGUGAAAUGCUUAGAUAUCGUCAAGAACACCGAUAGCGAAGGCAGCUUACUAGACUGUAACUGACGCUGAUGCACGAAAGUGUGGGGAUCAAACAGGAUUAGAUACCCUGGUAGUCCACACUGUAAACGAUGAUUACUCGAUGUUAGCGAUACACAGUUAGCGUCUUAGCGAAAGCGAUAAGUAAUCCACCUGGGGAGUACGCCGGCAACGGUG
rnacentral:rRNA from 1 species